CACGUAGGGUGCGAGCGUUGUCCGGAAUUAUUGGGCGUAAAGAGCUCGUAGGCGGUGUGUCGCGUCGGCCGUGAAAACCUGCAGCUUAACUGUGGGCGUGCGGUCGAUACGGGCAUCACUGGAGUUCGGCAGGGGAGACUGGAAUUCCUGGUGUAGCGGUGAAAUGCGCAGAUAUCAGGAGGAACACCGGUGGCGAAGGCGGGUCUCUGGGCCGUCACUGACGCUGAGACGCGAAAGCGUGGGGAGCAAACAGG
rnacentral:rRNA from 1 species